UACGGAGGGUGCAAGCGUUAUCCGGAUUUACUGGGUUUAAAGGGUGCGUAGGUGGGCAGGUAAGUCAGUGGUGAAAUCUCCGGGCUUAACCCGGAAACUGCCAUUGAUACUAUCUUUCUUGAAUAUCCUGGAGGUGAGCGGAAUAUGUCAUGUAGCGGUGAAAUGCUUAGAUAUGACAUAGAACACCAAUUGCGAAGGCAGCUGGCUACACAAAUAUUGACACUGAGGCACGAAAGCGUGGGGAUCAAACAGG
rnacentral:rRNA from 1 species